AAUAGUACUGUUUAUGGUAACAUAGGUAGAGACUUCUUAGAGGGACAUUUCGGGUAUACCGGAAGGAAGUUUGUGGCAAUAACAGGUCUGUGAUGCCCUUAGAUGUUCUGGGCCGCACGCGCGCUACACUGACGACUUCAACAAGUUUUUUUCUUUGAAAAAGUCCUUGGCUGGAAAGUCUGGGUAAUCUUUUAAACGGUCGUCGUGAUGGGGCUAGAUUCUUGCAAUUAUUAAUCUCCAACGAGGAACC
rnacentral:rRNA from 1 species